rnacentral:rRNA from 1 species
GACGAACCCUGGCGGCGUGCUUAACACAUGCAAGUCGAACGGAAAGGCCCUGCUUUUGUGGGGUGCUCGAGUGGCGAACGGGUGAGUAACACGUGAGUAACCUGCCCUUGACUUUGGGAUAACUUCAGGAAACUGGGGCUAAUACCGGAUAGGAGCUCCUGCUGCAUGGUGGGGGUUGGAAAGUUUCGGCGGUUGGGGAUGGACUCGCGGCUUAUCAGCUUGUUGGUGGGGUAGUGGCUUACCAAGGCUUUGACGGGUAGCCGGCCUGAGAGGGUGGCCGGCCACAUUGGGGCUGAGAUACGGCCCAGACUCCUACGGGAGGCAGCAGUGGGGAAUAUUGCACAAUGGGCGGAAGCCUGAUGCAGCAACGCCGCGUGCGGGAUGACGGCCUUCGGGUUGUAAACCGCUUUCGCCUGUGACGAAGCGUGAGUGACGGUAAUGGGUAAAGAAGCACCGGCUAACUACGUGCCAGCAGCCGCGGUGAUACGUAGGGUGCGAGCGUUGUCCGGAUUUAUUGGGCGUAAAGGGCUCGUAGGUGGUUGAUCGCGUCGGAAGUGUAAUCUUGGGGCUUAACCCUGAGCGUGCUUUCGAUACGGGUUGACUUGAGGAAGGUAGGGGAGAAUGGAAUUCCUGGUGGAGCGGUGGAAUGCGCAGAUAUCAGGAGGAACACCAGUGGCGAAGGCGGUUCUCUGGGCCUUUCCUGACGCUGAGGAGCGAAAGCGUGGGGAGCGAACAGGCUUAGAUACCCUGGUAGUCCACGCUGUAAACGGUGGGUACUAGGUGUGGGGUCCAUUCCACGGGUUCCGUGCCGUAGCUAACGCUUUAAGUACCCCGCCUGGGGAGUACGGCCGCAAGGCUAAAACUCAAAGGAAUUGACGGGGCCCCGCACAAGCGGCGGAGCAUGCGGAUUAAUUCGAUGCAACGCGUAGAACCUUACCUGGGUUUGACAUGGAUCGGGAGUGCUCAGAGAUGGGUGUGCCUCUUUUGGGGUCGGUUCACAGGUGGUGCAUGCCUGUCGUCAGCUCGUGUCGUGAGAUGUUGGGUUAAGUCCCGCAACGAGCGCAACCCUUGUUCACUGUUGCCAGCACGUUAUGGUGGGGACUCAGUGGAGACCGCCGGGGUCAACUCGGAGGAAGGUGGGGAUGACGUCAAGUCAUCAUGCCCCUUAUGUCCAGGGCUUCACGCAUGCUACAAUGGCUGGUACAGAGAGUGGCGAGCCUGUGAGGGUGAGCGAAUCUCGGAAAGCCGGUCUCAGUUCGGAUUGGGGUCUGCAACUCGACCUCAUGAAGUCGGAGUCGCUAGUAAUCGCAGAUCAGCAACGCUGCGGUGAAUACGUUCCCGGG